rnacentral:rRNA from 1 species
GAUGAACGCUGGCGGCGUGCCUAAUACAUGCAAGUCGAGCGAACAGACGAGGAGCUUGCUCCUCUGACGUUAGCGGCGGACGGGUGAGUAACACGUGUAUAACCUACCUAUAAGACUGGGAUAACUUCGGGAAACCGGAGCUAAUACCGGAUAAUAUAUUGAACCGCAUGGUUCAAUAGUGAAAGACGGUUUUGCUGUCACUUAUAGAUGGAUCCGCGCCGCAUUAGCUAGUUGGUAAGGUAACGGCCUACCAAGGCUACGAUGCGUAGCCGACCUGAGAGGGUGAUCGGCCACACUGGAACUGAGACACGGUCCAGACUCCUACGGGAGGCAGCAGUAGGGAAUCUUCCGCAAUGGGCGAAAGCCUGACGGAGCAACGCCGCGUGAGUGAUGAAGGUCUUCGGAUCGUAAAACUCUGUUAUUAGGGAAGAACAAAUGUGUAAGUAACUAUGCACGUCGUGACGGUACCUAAUCAGAAAGCCACGGCUAACUACGUG